CUAUGCGCCUUGCCAGCCCGCUCAGGUGUGCCAGCAGCCGCGGUAAUACGGAGGAUCCAAGCGUUAUCCGGAUUUAUGGGUUUAAAGGGUGCGUAGGCGGAUUGAUAAGUUAGAGGUGAAAUGUCCGAGCUUAACUCGGGAACUGCCUCUAAUACUGUUGAUCUAGAGAGUAGAUGCGGUAGGCGGAAUGUAUGGUGUAGCGGUGAAAUGCUUAGAGAUCAUACAGAACACCGAUUGCGAAGGCAGCUUACCAAACUAUAUCUGACGUUGAGGCACGAAAGCGUGGGUAUCGAACAGG
rnacentral:rRNA from 1 species